rnacentral:rRNA from 1 species
AAUCAACGCUGGCGGCGUGCCUAACACAUGCAAGUCGAACGCGAAAAGGGCUUCGGCUCUUAGUAGAGUGGCGAACGGGUGAGUAACACGUGGGUGACCUACCUUCGAAUGGGGGAUAACGUCCCGAAAGGGACGCUAAUACCGCAUAACAUCCUGCCUUUGAACAGGUGGAGAUCAAAGCCGGGGAUCGCAAGACCUGGCGUUUGAAGAGGGGCCCGCGUCUGAUUAGCUAGUUGGUGAGGUAACGGCCCACCAAGGCGACGAUCAGUAUCCGGCCUGAGAGGGCGGACGGACACACUGGGACUGAGACACGGCCCAGACUCCUACGGGAGGCAGCAGUGGGGAAUUGUUCGCAAUGGGCGCAAGCCUGACGACGCAACGCCGCGUGGAGGAUGAAGGUCUUCGGAUUGUAAACUCCUGUUGCCCGGACGAAUGGCUCCGACCUAACACGUCGGAGUGUGACGGUACCGGGUGAGGAAGCCCCGGCUAACUCUGUGCCAGCCGCCGCCGU